CACCUCAUCUGUGUGGCCAACUGUGGACCUGCAGACAACAUCGGAACACAAGAUUCCAGGACAAGUCUCAUGUGAAGACAAAGGAAAUACCCAGAUUGUAAAUAGGCUCUCUGCGCCCUCUGCAAUCAGCCCAGCUUCCUCUAUUAUGGACAGAUCUGUGCACCCAGAUAUGCCCAGGACUUCUCACUGACCUCUGCUAUGGACAUUCCUCUGAGACAACUGAGCAGUUUUUCAUGGUGACCCUCAGAUGACACAGCGGAGUCCACGGACAGGACCCACUUUAGUGGGGACCGCCUGAACCACUGCGUCAAGAAAGGUGAAAAAACUGCAUGAGAACUCUGUAACUGACUGGUGAUACUUGCAACGGAGACAUCUGCCAUCUUCACAUUUGUCAAGAGUUCUGAGAAGGCAGAGAUAGUGUUUUAUUCAGCUUUAGAAAUCUAAUU